GCCGGGAUAGCUCAGCUGGGAGAGCAACAGACUGAAGGGUCUUCGGCCUAGCAUUCUGGAGGUCGCGUGUUCAAUCCACGCUCCUGGCA